CUGAGACCUGGAGCUAACACCGGGAGCGCAGUUAAGUUUUUUUGUUUCGUUUUAUUUUGAACACAAAAAAAGAAGGGAAUCCUCAGCUGGGAUGCUGGAGGAGCUGGACCUGGCCAGGAAGGCAGACAAAGGUGUUCAAAGGUGUGACACUGCCACAUCUCCCUCCUAGGGGUGGCAAACUGGUUUGUGACAGAUGCCCAUUCACUACAAUCUCCAAGACAUCUUUGAGCAAUCUAUAAUGAGAGACCAGCAGGAUAACAUCAAAUCCUUCUCAUGUAUUGUAUGAUCUGAAAAAUGCGGUUGUUUUUGUGUUUGCAGUCUGGGAUUGAGGCAUUAGGAUUCCCGAUGUGUUGCACAGCUGGAGAUAACGACCUGGGGGAAUUAGGAUCAUUGAACUUCAUCUUUGCGAUUCAUCAUGCUAAAACUACAGCAUCAGAAUAUCAUUUGCAAAUUAACCUUUGAAUGCACAGAAUCUCACAAGUGGGUAAGGGCAGGGAGAGAGAGGGGUGAAUCAAAUAAUCUUUCUCAGGCUCUAUAGAUAAUGCCUGGCAAAAUAAACAAUGGUCUGCUGUUUUGAUGAAUAACCACUCCGUGAUACAUACACUCACUGGCAACUUUAUUCGAUGCACCUGCUCAUUAGUGCCAAUAGUCUGCUCCUCCAAACAGAAUCAUGUGUUUGCAAUUCAAUAUUUAAAGCAUACAGACAUGGUGAAGAGGUUUAGCUUUUUUGUUCAACCAGACAUGGGCAAGAUGCGUGAUCUAAGCGACUUUGGCCAUGGUGUGAUUGUUGGCACCAGAUUGUUGGGUGUUAUCAGUACUAAAUAGGUGCAUAACACAGGGCCAAGCCAUGCAGCAUUGUCCUAUGCUGUAUUGUACCUAUUUUUCACAUUGUGCACUCAGUUUGACUGACUGAAACGGUAGAAAAGACAUUAAAAAAAACUUAAUAACAUUUAAAAUAUUUUGGUAAAAAAUACUGAACAGGAACAUGUGUAUGUUGAAAGUGAAUGGAUGUCAAAAUAUCAAGAAAUGUAGGUUAGAAAAAUUAGGUGUGUGAGGUGUAAACUUCAAAUUGUGUAUCUUGAGAUAUAGACACACAGCUUUGUUCAAAAGAUUUUGAUGAACUUGCAUAGCUUGACUCUUCUGUUUCCUUAUUUUCCUCUGUUUGGAAAAUGCACUGCUGGCAUUGUUUCACAUUAGAAAAGUGCUGUGCUGUGGAAACAAAGUAAAUAUAUUUACUGCCUCCUUUAAACUUCGGUUAUUAGUUCCUCCAUAAUGUCAGCACUUCUCAAAAAUAAAAUAUCCCUUGUUCUUUGUAUUACUGGAAGAAUGUGUUUUUUAUCUAUGAUGUCAGCAGAGUAGGCCGUGUGCAUCAUUUUUAAAUAGCGUUAUUAAUUAAUAAAAAAGCCAGCCUCUUUUUGUUAGACCACAUUGUUUUCAAGUGUUUUUACCUUGUCAUCUGUUUGACAAAUUGGCUAAUUAGUUUCAUUAAACAUAAUCAACAUUUCAUUGUUAAGCACUAAUUAUUCUAUACAAUAAAGCUUAAAUGGUAGCAGAAUAUGAAAAGAA